AGUGGAUGGGGAGCAACCUAGUUGUGCGUGUGUAAAGGUAGUGCCAAGAAAAGCGAUGAUCAUGUUGAAAAUCAAUUCCCGGUACCCGAAACCGACACAGGUGGGCAAGUAGAGAAUACUAAGGGGCGCGAGGUAACUCUCUCCAAGGAACUCGGCAAAAUGACUCCGUAACUUAGGGAGAAGGGGUGCCACCGAGAGGUGGUCGCAGUGAAGAGGCCCAGGCGACUGUUUAGCAAAAACAUAGGUCUCUGCAAACUCGAAAGAGGAGGUAUAGGGGCUGACGCCUGCCCAGUGCCGGAAGGUUAAAGAGGUUGGUCAGUUUUAGGAUGAAGCUAGCGACUGAAGCCCCGGUGAACGGCGGCCGUAACUAUAACGGUCCUAAGGUAGCGAAAUUCCUUGUCGGGUAAGUUCCGACCCGCACGAAAGGCGUAACGAUCUGGGCGCUGUCUCGGAGAGAGGCUCGGCGAAAUAGGAUUGUCUGUGAAGAUACGGACUACCUGCAUUUGGACAGAAAGACCCUAUGAAGCUUUACUAUAGCUUGGAAUUGUGUUCGGGCUUCCUGUGCGCAGGAUAGGUGGGAGGCGAAGAAGGUAUUCUCGUGGGGAUACUGGAGCCAACGGUGAGAUACCACUCUCAGGAGGCUAGAAUUCUAACUUAAUUAAGGACAGUUUCAGGUGGGUAGUUUGACUGGGGCGGUCGCCUCCAAAAAGGUAACGGAGGCGUACAAAGGUUCCCUCAGACUGGUUGGAAAUCAGUCGCAGAGUGCAAAGGCAGAAGGGAGCUUGACUGCGAGAAGUACAGUUCGAGCAGGGUGGAAACACGGUCUUAGUGAUCCGACGGUGCUGUGUGGAAGGGCCGUCGUUCGACGGAUAAAAGUACUCUAAGGAUAACAGGCUGAUCUCCCCCAAGAGUUCACAUCGACGGGGAGGUUUGGCACCUCGAUGUCGGCUCAUCGCAACCUGGGGCGGAAGUACGUCCCAAGGGUUGGGCUGUUCGCCCAUUAAAGCGGUACGUGAGCUGGGUUCAGAACGUCGUGAGACAGUUCGGUCCAUAUCCGAUGUAGGCGUGAGAAUAUUGAGAGGAGCCUUCCUUAGUACGAGAGGACCGGGAAGGACGCACCGCUGUGUACCUGUUAUGAUGCCAAUUGUAAACGCAGGGUAGCCAAGUGCGGAGAGGAUAACCGCUGAAAGCAUCUAAGUGGGAAGCCCACCUCAAGAUGAGUAUUCUGGUGUAAGGUCACGGGAAGACGACCCGUAAAUAGGCACGAGGUGGAAGUGCAGAGAUGUAUGAAGCCGAAGUGUACUAAUAGACCGUCGGCUUGACCG
rnacentral:rRNA from 1 species